CUAAUUUGGCAAAAUUUAUAUUUGUGUCCCCUAGUCCUACUAUUUUCACAGUUAAGUAUGAAAAACAUGAUGCAUAAACACUAUUAAUUCCUUUUAUACCCUUAAACACCUCAAUC